UCCCAGGUGGCUCAGACAGUAAAGAAUCUGCCUGCAAUGCAAGAGACCCAGGUUCGAUCCCUGGGUUGGGAA
rnacentral:tRNA from 1 species